AGGUCCUGGGUUCUUCAGGAUGACAUCUGCUUAGACCAAGAUCAAUGUGUUACCAACUCACUACCAGAGUCAAAAGAAGAUUUUGCUCUGAGACAGGAUGCGUGUACAUCACUGCAACUACUUUUCAAUUGGUGUAGAAGCAAAUAUUCCUUUUGAGAAAGGCACACGUUUCUCCAUGGUUGGAAGAUCACACUUUUGUGUAAUAGUGUUCCUUCAGCGAGCAAUUUGUAGCAAAUUUGUCAUCUGUGCAAAUGCUGGGAACAUUGACUUUUACUUGGGAUGUAUUCAAUUUCAACAGCAGAAAUGCUAAGUCAUGGCCUGAAACAGUGAUGGAGCACCUGGUGGGAAGGCAG